rnacentral:rRNA from 1 species
AGUGAACGCUGGCGGUAGGCCUAACACAUGCAAGUCGAACGGCAGCACAGUAAGAGCUUGCUCUUACGGGUGGCGAGUGGCGGACGGGUGCGGAAUACAUCGGAAUCUACUUUUUCGUGGGGGAUAACGUAGGGAAACUUACGCUAAUACCGCAUACGACCUACGGGUGAAAGCAUGGGAUCUUCGGACCUUGCGCGAUUGAAUGAGCCGAUGUCGGAUUAGCUAGUUGGCGGGGUAAAGGCCCACCAAGGCGACGAUCCGUAGCUGGUCUGAGAGGAUGAUCAGACACACUGGAACUGAGACACGGUCCAGACUCCUACGGGAGGCAGCAGUGGGGAAUAUUGGACAAUGGGCGAAAGCCUGAUCCAGCCAUACCGCGUGGGUGAAGAAGGUCUUCGGAUUGUAAAGCACUUUUGGUGGGAAAGAAAAGCAGUAGGUUAAUACCUCGCUGUUUUGACGGUACCAAAAGAAUAAGCACCGGCUAACUUCGUG